rnacentral:rRNA from 1 species
CAGCCGCCGCGGUAAUACAGAGGUCUCAAGCGUUGUUCGGAUUCAUUGGGCGUAAAGGGUGCGUAGGUGGCGAUGUAAGUCUGUUGUGAAAUCUCGGGGCUCAACCCCGAAAUUGCAGCGGAUACUGCGUUGCUAGAGGAUUGUAGAGGAGAGUGGAAUUCACGGUGUAGCAGUGAAAUGCGUAGAGAUGUGGAGGAACACCGAUGGCGAAGGCAGCCCCCUGGGCCAAUACUGACGCUCAUGCACGAAAGCGUGGGGAGCAAACAGGAUUAGAUACCCCGGUAGUCCCUGUCUCCUUAUU